GGCGGGUUGUGGGCGGGCUCGUCUCUGCGCGCCCGCUGUUUGAAAGAACACCCGCCACAGGUAGGAUCCCGGUUUCUGGAGUCGGGGAAAGCUGCUCCUGACGCUGCGGAACAGACACAAACCCAGGCAACGUGGAUAUCGGGUUCUUCGCCUCGGCGCUCGCCCGGGGAACCGUAACUAGGUGUAUCUUCUGAACAGACAUCCAGACUUUCUACAUUAGAAAUAAUUAUUCCUCGAAAUCUGACAGACAUAGAGAAACAUCACCAAUUUUUUCAUGAGGAGCAUUCAGAUGACAGUCCUUCUUACUCAGUUAAAACCAGAAACGGAACGUAUCUCCUAAAACUGAAGAAAAAUAAACAGCUUGUUAGCGAAGACUUUAUGCUAUAUACAUAUGGGGAAAAUGGGAAACUGGAGGCAACACAAUCAAAAACCAAG
rnacentral:lncRNA from 1 species